rnacentral:rRNA from 12 species
CUAGAGCUAAUACAUGCAGGAGUUCCCGACUCACGGAGGGAUGUAUUUAUUAGAUAAGAAACCAAACCGGUCUCCGGUUGCGUGCUGAGUCAUAAUAACUGCUCGAAUCGCACGGCUCUACGCCGGCGAUGGUUCAUUCAAAUUUCUGCCCUAUCAGCUUUCGAUGGUAGGAUAGAGGCCUACCAUGGCGUUAACGGGUAACGGAGAAUUAGGGUUCGAUUCCGGAGAGGGAGCCUGAGAAACGGCUACCACAUCUAAGGAAGGCAGCAGGCGC